rnacentral:rRNA from 1 species
UGGGGGAUAUUGCACAAUGGGGGAAACCCUGAUGCAGCGACGCCGCGUGAGGGAAGAAGGUUUUCGGAUUGUAAACCUCUGUCUUCGGUGACGAAACAAGACGGUACCCGAGGAGGAAGCUCCGGCUAACUACGUGCCAGCAGCCGCGGUAAUACGUAGGGAGCGAGCGUUGUCCGGAUCUAUUGGGUUUAAAGGGUGCGUGGGCUGUUAUGUAAGUCAGCGGUGAAAUACCUAAGCUCAACUUAGGGGCUGCCGUUGAUACUGCAUAGCUGGAAUAUGGUUGCUGUUGGCGGAAUGUGUAGUGUAGCGGUGAAAUGCAUAGAUAUUACACAGAA